rnacentral:rRNA from 1 species
AUUGAACGCUGGCGGCAUGCCUUACACAUGCAAGUCGAACGGCAGCACGGGAGCAAUCCUGGUGGCGAGUGGCGAACGGGUGAGUAAAGUAUCGGAACGUGCCCAGUCGUGGGGGAUAACGUAGCGAAAGUUACGCUAAUACCGCAUACGAUCUAUGGAUGAAAGCGGGGGAUCGCAAGACCUCGCGCGAUUGGAGCGGCCGAUAUCAGAUUAGGUAGUUGGUGGGGUAAAGGCUCACCAAGCCGACGAUCUGUAGCUGGUCUGGGAGGACGACCAGCCACGCUGGGACUGAGACACGGCCCAGACUCCUACGGGAGGCAGCAGUGGGGAAUUUUGGACAAUGGGGGAAAGCCUGAUCCAGCCAUGCCGCGUGCAGGAUGAAGGCCUUCGGGUCGUAAACUGCUUUUGUACGGAACGAAAAGGUUUGGCCUAAUAAGCUGAGCUCAUGACGGUACCGUAAGAAUAAGCACCGGCUAACUACGUGCCAGCAGCCGCCGUAA